AUGACAGAACUGCCGGAGGUGGAAGCAGCGCGGCGGGCGCUGGAGGCGCACUGCGUGGGCCACCCCAUCACGCGCUGCGCCGUCGCGGACGACUCCAAGUCCAAGCUCGUCGCCGCCGCCGCCGGGGUAAGAACCAUGGUGGGCAGGACCAUCGUGGCCGCGCGCCGGAGGGGCAAGAACCUCUGGCUCUGCCUCGACGCCCCGCCCUUCCCCUCCUUCCAGUUCGCGAUGGCAGGUGCGAUCUACAUAAAGGGCGUUGCCAUCACAAAGUACAAGAGGCAAGUGCUCUUUUCCGUUUGGUAUCUCACCUUGGAAGUUGCGAACAUAUUAUCAGCUGUCAACUCCGAGGACGAGUGGCCGUCCAAGUACUCCAAGUUUUUCGUUGAGCUUGAUGGCUUGGAGUUUUCCUUCACUGAUAAGAGGCGCUUUGCAAGAGUUCGGUUAUUUGAUUAUGUAUGUGCAAUUCGCUCACUCAAUUGUUGUUGGCAUCCUGAAACUGUACCUCCAAUUUCUGAGCUAGGUCCGGAUGCUCUCUUUGAGCCGAUGUCCGUUGACAAUUUUGUGGACUCACUGACCAAGAAGAAGAUUGGAAUAAAAGCCCUUUUACACUAUCAGAGCUUCAUACAAGGCAUUGGUAAUUGGAUUGCACACGAGGUGCUUUACCAGAUUGCUUCAAGCCUAACAAGGGAGAGUUGUGAAGCAAUACACCAAAGCAGCCAAGAGGUUGUGAAAUAUGCUGUUGAUGUUGAUGCUGAUUGUGAUCCCUUUCCUGUGGAAUGGUUGUUUCAUCACCGCUGGGGCAAGAAGCCUGGAAAGAACAUUGAAUUCAUAACAGCUGGUGGCAGACUACAGCCUAUAUAUGUGCCACAACUACAGAAGCUGUCUGGGACCCAAUCUAACAAAAAGGUAGUGGCUAGCCCAGGGCAAGUGAGUGAGGAUGGUGAUGCCAAGGAAGCAAGGGUAGAAGGAGAAGAUGAUGACAAUUUGAAGCCAAGAAAGAGGGUGGCAACAUUCCGGGCUGUCAGGGGACAGCAAAACAAGGAUACCAUAAGUGCCCCCUCCAAAAAAAAAACAAGGAAAAUCUGGUGGCUAGAAGAAACCAAGCAUUAA
rnacentral:rRNA from 1 species